GGGAAUAUGGCUUAGUGAUAGAGUGCUUGCCUAACAUGCAGGAAGCCCUGGGUUCAAUUCCUCAGUACCA
rfam:Dipodomys ordii contig_71509, whole genome shotgun sequence.